rnacentral:rRNA from 1 species
UACGAGGGGGGCGAGCGUUGUUCGGAAUUAUUGGGCGUAAAGGGCGCGUAGGCGGUUGGGUAAGUCUUGUGUGAAAUCUUCGGGCUCAACUCGAAGUCUGCACGAGAAACUAUCUGGCUUGAGUGUGGGAGAGGUGAGUGGAAUUCCUGGUGUAGCGGUGAAAUGCGUAGAUAUCAGGAGGAACACCUGUGGCGAAAGCGGCUCACUGGACCACAACUGACGCUGAGGCGCGAAAGCUAGGGGAGCAAACAGG